AUAUGUCAAAUAAAGUAAACAAAAUAUAUAUUGUUGUAGGUGAUUAGAGGAUGGAAGGAUGCAGUUCCUUGAUAAACUAAACUUGUGGAGCAACAACUGGUAGAAAGAAAAGGGCGAGAGAGUGCGUUACUGGAAUUGUGUGGACAUGGGUUAGGCUGCUGUCAGCCUGUCAUACAAAAAUAGAAGACAUGGUUUAUCUCACCACUUUGUGCCGAAUUAUGGAAGGAAGAAAGGACAAAAGAAUGGCAUUCAGAGCAACAAUUGAGCAAGCACAACUGCGUUAGCACGGGCCAACUUACUAGUCCA